CGCGUAGGCGGCUUUGUAAGUCCGUUGUGAAAUCCCUCGGCUCAACCGAGGAACUGCGACGGAUACUGCUUGGCUUGAGUCCCGGAGAGGGUAGCGGAAUUCCCAGUGUAGCGGUGAAAUGCGUAGAUAUUGGGAGGAACAUCGGUGGCGAAGGCGGCUACCUGGACGGGUACUGACGCUGAUGCGCGAAAGCUAGGGGAGCAAACAGGAUUAGAUACCCUGGUAGUCCUAGCUGUAAACGAUGGGCACUUGGUGUUGCGGGUAUCGACCCCUGCAGUGCCGAAGCUAACGCAUUAAGUGCCCCGCCUGGGGAGUACGGUCGCAAGGCUGAA
rnacentral:rRNA from 1 species